CCCAUCAGUUGCCUGAAGUUCUAUGGAGUGGACCACUGUCUGGAGAGAAAAAAGCAGACACGAGGUUCACUCUGACCAGCAAGUAUGGCAAUCAAAAGUGAAGUCAAUGCCAAGUCUAAAAGCCCAAGUGGGAAAAGCCAUCUUUAUCUUGAUUUAAGAGAAGGAAGAUCCGAUUUGUGCACAAAGGAAAUAAGCCAAGACAUACCGCCCCUGUGGCCAAAGCGACAAAAUUGUCCACCGUCUUGGGCACAACUUUUCCAAAGAGGCCAAUCACUAUCCGGCCAACAUCUUUGUCUCCGAUCCUCACAUCAAAGAAAACCUGCGUGUGGUUGAAAGGCAGAGCAGAAGGUUACAUGGAAACGCCGGGUAUACAAGGAGCUGGUGUCAUGACUUUCAAGCCAAGAUUUUCCUCAGGUAAGCAGAUAGGAUUCCUAUGUGUAAGAGUCCAUCUAAAAUUACAUUGGACUUAGUCUAUACAAAAGGAGUAACCUCAACGUGUGAGGGGUGGAUAGCACACUUCUGAAUUAUUUUGAUAAUUCAAUCCACUGAAGGAUCUAAUGUCUAUCUUCAUGGCCUCAAACCCCAACAAAGAAAGGGUCCCCCCUUUGUAGUAAGCUGAGAGUGUCUGAGCACUUACCCCUCUGAGUGACUGUACACAUUUAUUGUAAUUGUUUUUGUCUGUCCUAUCAUAGUUCAAUAAUAGCUCCAAAAGCAGAGAGCACACCUGUAUUUAUUCCUUUGGAUGGCCCAGAUUUAGUAAAAUGCCUGAUGUAUAGUGAUUUCUAGAUAAGUAUUUGUUGAAUGAAUGUACAUGUCUAACUAAUUUAAUGUGUUUUAAUUGGGAAGGUUAAUUUAAAAAAAUGAAAGUGCACAAAAUGUAAAUGUACAUACCAGUGAAUACAAAUAGAACCCUGCUUAAGAAAUGAAAUAUUUGUCAGCUCUUUAGAAAGUUUUCUUGUACUUUUCCCAAUUACUAGCACUUUCUUUUCCCCAAAUUAAAUGCAAUAAUAACUUACUACCCUAUCAUUUAGUUUUAACUUUAUCCAAAUGGAAUCAUUUGCUCAAAUUUAUGUUUGUAAAAUUUAUAGUUUGGGUUUUUUUGUGUGUGGAUAACUUUUGGUCCAUCAAUUUCCCU